UACGUAGGUGGCAAGCGUUGUCCGGAUUUACUGGGCGUAAAGAGCGCGCAGGCGGUCGUUCAAGUCGCGUGUGAAAGCCCCCGGCUCAACUGGGGAGGGUCACGCGAUACUGAUCGACUCGAAGGCAGGAGAGGGUAGUGGAAUUCCCGGUGUAGUGGUGAAAUGCGUAGAUAUCGGGAGGAACACCAGUGGCGAAGGCGACUACCUGGCCUGUUCUUGACGCUGAGACGCGAAAGCGUGGGGAGCGAACGGG
rnacentral:rRNA from 1 species